rnacentral:rRNA from 1 species
GACGAACGCUGGCGGCGUGCUUAACACAUGCAAGUCGAACGGAAAGGCCCAGCUUGCUGGGUGCUCGAGUGGCGAACGGGUGAGUAACACGUGGGUGAUCUGCCCCUAACUUCGGGAUAAGCUUGGGAAACUGGGUCUAAUACCGGAUAGGACAAUCGUUUAGUGUCGGUUGUGGAAAGUUUUUUCGGUUAGGGAUGAGCCCGCGGCCUAUCAGCUUGUUGGUGGGGUAAUGGCCUACCAAGGCGUCGACGGGUAGCCGGCCUGAGAGGGUGGACGGCCACAUUGGGACUGAGAUACGGCCCAGACUCCUACGGGAGGCAGCAGUGGGGAAUAUUGCACAAUGGGCGCAAGCCUGAUGCAGCGACGCCGCGUGGGGGAUGACGGCCUUCGGGUUGUAAACCUCUUUCGACAGGGACGAAGCUUUGGUGACGGUACCUGUAUAAGAAGCACCGGCUAACUACGUGCCAGCAGCCGCGGUAAUACGUAGGGUGCGAGCGUUGUCCGGAAUUACUGGGCGUAAAGAGCUCGUAGGUGGUUUGUCGCGUCGUCUGUGAAAUUCCGGGGCUUAACUUCGGGCGUGCAGGCGAUACGGGCAUAACUUGAGUGCUGUAGGGGAGACUGGAAUUCCUGGUGUAGCGGUGGAAUGCGCAGAUAUCAGGAGGAACACCGAUGGCGAAGGCAGGUCUCUGGGCAGUAACUGACGCUGAGGAGCGAAAGCAUGGGGAGCGAACAGGAUUAGAUACCCUGGUAGUCCAUGCCGUAAACGGUGGGCGCUAGGUGUAGGGGUCUUCCACGACUUCUGUGCCGUAGCUAACGCAUUAAGCGCCCCGCCUGGGGAGUACGGCCGCAAGGCUAAAACUCAAAGGAAUUGACGGGGGCCCGCACAAGCGGCGGAGCAUGUGGAUUAAUUCGAUGCAACGCGAAGAACCUUACCUGGGCUUGACAUAUACAGGACUGGGCCAGAGAUGGUCUUUCCCUUUGUGGCUUGUAUACAGGUGGUGCAUGGUUGUCGUCAGCUCGUGUCGUGAGAUGUUGGGUUAAGUCCCGCAACGAGCGCAACCCUUGUCUUAUGUUGCCAGCGGUUUUGGCCGGGGACUCAUGAGAGACUGCCGGGGUUAACUCGGAGGAAGGUGGGGAUGACGUCAAAUCAUCAUGCCCCUUAUGUCCAGGGCUUCACACAUGCUACAAUGGUCGGUACAACGCGCUGCGAGCCUGUGAGGGUGAGCGAAUCGCUGAAAGCCGGCCUCAGUUCGGAUUGGGGUCUGCAACUCGACCCCAUGAAGUCGGAGUCGCUAGUAAUCGCAGAUCAGCAACGCUGCGGUGAAUACGUUCCCGGGCCU